rnacentral:rRNA from 1 species
UUCCGGUUGAUCCCGCCGGACCUGACUGCUAUCGGAUUGAUACUAAGCCAUGCGAGUCAUUGUAGCAAUACAAGGCAUACGGCUCAGUAACGCGUAGUCAACCUAACCUAUGGACGGGAAUAACCUCGGGAAACUGAGAAUAAUGCCCGAUAGAACACUAUACCUGGAAUGGUUUGUGUUCCAAAUGAUUUAUCGCCAUAGGAUGGGACUGCGGCCUAUCAGUUUGUUGGUGAGGUAAUGGCCCACCAAGACUAUUACAGGUACGGGCUCUGAGAGGAGUAGCCCGGAGAUGGGUACUGAGACACGGACCCAGGCCCUAUGGGGCGCAGCAGGCGAGAAAACUUUGCAAUGUGCGAAAGCACGACAAGGUUAAUCCGAGUGAUUUGUGCUAAACGAAUCUUUUGUUAGUCCUAGAAACACUAACGAAUAAGGGGUGGGCAAGUUCUGGUGUCAGCCGCCGCGGUAAAACCAGCACCUCAAGUGGUCAGGAUGAUUAUUGGGCCUAAAGCAUCCGUAGCCGGCUCUGUAAGUUUUCGGUUAAAUCUGUACGCUUAACGUACAGGCUGCCGGGAAUACUGCAAAGCUAGGGAGUGGGAGAGGUAGACGGUACUCGGUAGGAAGUGGUAAAAUGCUUUGAUCUAUCGAUGACCACCUGUGGCGAAGGCGGUCUACCAGAACACGUCCGACGGUGAGGGAUGAAAGCUGGGGGAGCAAACCGGAUUAGAUACCCGGGUAGUCCCAGCUGUAAACUAUGCAAACUCAGUGAUGCAUUGGCUUGUGGCCAAUGCAGUGCUGCAGGGAAGCCGUUAAGUUUGCCGCCUGGGAAGUACGUACGCAAGUAUGAAACUUAAAGGAAUUGGCGGGGGAGCACCACAAGGGGUGAAGCCUGCGGUUCAAUUGGAUUCAACGCCGGG